AUGAUGUCACGUCUGCUGGGUAACUCCCCUUCCCAGUCUGUGAACCUGAACCUGAGGCUGAGCAGAAAAUACAGAGUAAUAUCAAGAUGGGUGAAUUGUCUGUUCAAGGUGAAACCAGUUUCAUUAGUUUCUAUGGACGGUGGAUAUGCGGAGGAUAUUGUUUCCAGUGUAACAGGAUUACUGUAGUGUCACAGCAGAUUACAACAUGGACUGAGGAAUAUCACCACCAAAUCUACUAUUUAUAUGUAUUUAUGUGUUCUUUCUUGUCCCAGAGGGCACACAGAGGGGCCAAUGUUUUUUGUCUUUUAUUAUAUACUGUGACCUUAUUUAUACUUGUUGUAGUUCUGUGUGUGGUUUUGCCCUAAUGUGACCACUGUCUCUAAUAUUGCUACUGAGUGAUACCGCACUGCUGAUCCGGGAUCGUUGGCCACGAUCUGCUGCCCCUGUCCUGGUGUUGGAUGUUUGGACCCUGAUACACCUUGAUUUCCAUAGUGUUCAAGUGACAUUGUGGACACUAAACUGCAUGGAGACUGCUGUGGCCUAGUGGCGUUAUGAACAAGAGCAGCGCCGACCAGCCCGCUUGCCCGUAGUUACCAUAGAAAGCUAUUAUGUACAUGCCCUGAACAAAUAUGGCCGAUGCUAUUGCUGCCUACUACUACACGCAUGCAACCCACGUCUUGCCCUCACGCCAUUCACUGGUCCUUUACUCCGAUUGGCCUCUGCUGUGUUCCUUGUUCCGGUUUAUAUGCCGGCACACGUGAGACGCCGUCCCUGCAAUAUGGUGCAGAGCGUGUUUAUUCCUUAUUGGUGAGUGUAAACUCUGUACCGGUACAUUGUAUACUUUUUGUAUGUAUUUGUAUGUAUUACCUCAUUAAGCACUGUUGGCACUUUAUUGUUAUGGACUGUAUGUAAUAUGAAUUUUAAUGAGUCAAGUGACCCAAUCUAUAUGAUAUAUACAAUAUUUUAUCCGUAUUUUACACUUAUUAUUCACUGUAUUUGCACUUUAGAACAUUAUAAUUGAGACACUUAAUUGUAAUCCCUAUAUACAGU